rnacentral:rRNA from 1 species
CCUACGGGUGGCAGCAGUGAGGAAUAUUGGUCAAUGGACGAGAGUCUGAACCAGCCAAGUAGCGUGAAGGAUGACUGCCCUAUGGGUUGUAAACUUCUUUUAUAUGGGAAUAAAAUGUUCCACGUGUGGGAUUUUGUAUGUACCAUAUGAAUAAGGAUCGGCUAACUCCGUGCCAGCCGCCGCGGUAAUACGGAGGGGCCGAGCGUUAUCCGGAUUUGUUGGGUUUAAAGGGAGCGUAGGUGGGUUGUUAAGUCAGUUGUGAAAGUUUGCGGCUCAACCGUAAAAUUGCAGUUGAAACUGGCAGUCUGGAGUGCAGGAGAGGUGAGUGGAAUUCGUGGUGUAGCGGUGAAAUGCUUAGAUAUCAUGAAGAACUCCGGUGGCGAAGGCGGCUCACUGGACUGCAACUGACGCUGAGGUUCGAAAGUGUGGGUAUCAAACAGGAUUAGAUACCCCAGUAGUC